UUAAGUUAGAAAGGGCGCACGGUGGAUGCCUUGACACUAGGAGUCGAUGAAGGACGGGACUAACGCCGAUAUGCUUCGGGGAGCUGUAAGUAAGCUUUGAUCCGAAGAUUUCCGAAUGGGGAAACCCACCAUACGUAAUGGUAUGGUAUCCUUAUCUGAAUACAUAGGGUAAGGAAGACAGACCCAGGGAACUGAAACAUCUAAGUACCUGGAGGAAGAGAAAGCAAAUGCGAUUUCCUGAGUAGCGGCGAGCGAAACGGAACAUAGCCCAAACCAAGAGGCUUGCCUCUUGGGGUUGUAGGACAUUCUAUACGGAGUUACAAAGGAACGAGGUAGACGAAGCGACCUGGAAAGGUCCGUCGUAGAGGGUAACAACCCCGUAGUCGAAACUUCGUUCUCUCUUGAAUGUAUCCUGAGUACGGCGGAACACGUGAAAUUCCGUCGGAAUCCGGGAGGACCAUCUCCCAAGGCUAAAUACUCCCUAGUGACCGAUAGUGAACCAGUACCGUGAGGGAAAGGUGAAAAGCACCCCGGAAGGGGAGUGAAAGAGAUCCUGAAACCGUGUGCCUACAAAUAGUCAGAGCCCGUUAACGGGUGAUGGCGUGCCUUUUGUAGAAUGAACCGGCGAGUUACGAUCCCGUGCGAGGUUAAGCUGAAGAGGCGGAGCCGCAGCGAAAGCGAGUCUGAAUAGGGCGUUUAGUACGUGGUCGUAGACCCGAAACCAGGUGAUCUACCCAUGUCCAGGGUGAAGUUCAGGUAACACUGAAUGGAGGCCCGAACCCACGCACGUUGAAAAGUGCGGGGAUGAGGUGUGGGUAGCGGAGAAAUUCCAAUCGAACCUGGAGAUAGCUGGUUCUCCCCGAAAUAGCUUUAGGGCUAGCCUUAAGUGUAAGAGUCUUGGAGGUAGAGCACUGAUUGGACUAGGGGUCCUCAUCGGAUUACCGAAUUCAGUCAAACUCCGAAUGCCAAUGACUUAUCCUUAGGAGUCAGACUGCGAGUGAUAAGAUCCGUAGUCAAAAGGGAAACAGCCCAGACCGCCAGCUAAGGUCCCAAAGUGUGUAUUAAGUGGAAAAGGAUGUGGAGUUGCUUAGACAACUAGGAUGUUGGCUUAGAAGCAGCCACCAUUUAAAGAGUGCGUAAUAGCUCACUAGUCGAGUGACUCUGCGCCGAAAAUGUACCGGGGCUAAAUACACCACCGAAGCUGCGGAUUGAUACCAAUGGUAUCAGUGGUAGGGGAGCGUUCUAAGGACAGUGAAGUCAGACCGGAAGGACUGGUGGAGUGCUUAGAAGUGAGAAUGCCGGUAUGAGUAGCGAAAGACGGGUGAGAAUCCCGUCCACCGAAUGCCUAAGGUUUCCUGAGGAAGGCUCGUCCGCUCAGGGUUAGUCAGGACCUAAGCCGAGGCCGACAGGCGUAGGCGAUGGACAACAGGUUGAUAUUCCUGUACCACCUCUUUAUCGUUUGAGCAAUGGAGGGACGCAGAAGGAUAGAAGAAGCGUGCGAUUGGUUGUGCACGUCCAAGCAGUUAGGCUGAUAAGUAGGCAAAUCCGCUUAUCGUGAAGGCUGAGCUGUGAUGGGGAAGCUCCUUAUGGAGCGAAGUCUUUGAUUCCCCGCUGCCAAGAAAAGCUUCUAGCGAGAUAAAAGGUGCCUGUACCGCAAACCGACACAGGUAGGCGAGGAGAGAAUCCUAAGGUGUGCGAGAGAACUCUGGUUAAGGAACUCGGCAAAAUGACCCCGUAACUUCGGGAGAAGGGGUGCUUUCUUAACGGAAAGCCGCAGUGAAUAGGCCCAAGCGACUGUUUAGCAAAAACACAGCUCUCUGCGAAGCCGUAAGGCGAAGUAUAGGGGGUGACACCUGCCCGGUGCUGGAAGGUUAAGGAGAGGGGUUAGCGUAAGCGAAGCUCUGAACUGAAGCCCCAGUAAACGGCGGCCGUAACUAUAACGGUCCUAAGGUAGCGAAAUUCCUUGUCGGGUAAGUUCCGACCCGCACGAAAGGCGUAAUGAUUUGGGCACUGUCUCAACGAGAGACUCGGUGAAAUUAUAGUACCUGUGAAGAUGCAGGUUACCCGCGACAGGACGGAAAGACCCCGUGGAGCUUUACUGUAGCCUGAUAUUGAAUUUUGGUACAGUUUGUACAGGAUAGGCGGGAGCCUUUGAAACCGGAGCGCUAGCUUCGGUGGAGGCGCUGGUGGGAUACCGCCCUGACUGUAUUGAAAUUCUAACCUACGGGUCUUAUCGACCCGGGAGACAGUGUCAGGUGGGCAGUUUGACUGGGGCGGUCGCCUCCUAAAGUGUAACGGAGGCGCCCAAAGGUUCCCUCAGAAUGGUUGGAAAUCAUUCGUAGAGUGCAAAGGCAUAAGGGAGCUUGACUGCGAGACCUACAAGUCGAGCAGGGACGAAAGUCGGGCUUAGUGAUCCGGUGGUUCCGCAUGGAAGGGCCAUCGCUCAACGGAUAAAAGCUACCCCGGGGAUAACAGGCUUAUCUCCCCCAAGAGUCCACAUCGACGGGGAGGUUUGGCACCUCGAUGUCGGCUCAUCGCAUCCUGGGGCUGUAGUCGGUCCCAAGGGUUGGGCUGUUCGCCCAUUAAAGCGGUACGCGAGCUGGGUUCAGAACGUCGUGAGACAGUUCGGUCCCUAUCCGUCGUGGGCGUAGGAAAUUUGAGAGGAGCUGUCCUUAGUACGAGAGGACCGGGAUGGACAUACCUCUGGUGUACCAGUUGUCGUGCCAACGGCAUAGCUGGGUAGCUAUGUGUGGACGGGAUAAGUGCUGAAAGCAUCUAAGCAUGAAGCCCCCCUCAAGAUGAGAUUUCCCAUAGCGUAAGCUAGUAAGAUCCCUGAAAGAUGAUCAGGUUGAUAGGUUCGAGGUGGAAGCAUGGUGACAUGUGGAGCUGACGAAUACUAAUAGAUCGAGGACUUAACCAU
rnacentral:rRNA from 1 species